rnacentral:rRNA from 2 species
UACGUAGGGGGCAAGCGUUAUCCGGAAUUAUUGGGCGUAAAGAGUGCGUAGGCGGUUUUGUAAGCGUGAGGUGAAAGGCAAUGGCUCAACCAUUGUAAGCCUUGCGAACUGUAAGACUUGAGUGCAGGAGAGGAGAGUGGAAUUCCUAGUGUAGCGGUGAAAUGCGUAGAUAUUAGGAGGAACACCAGUGGCGAAGGCGACUCUCUGGACUGUAACUGACGCUGAGGCACGAAAGCGUGGGGAGCGAACAGG